rnacentral:lncRNA from 10 species
GCCACAGUCACAGCUGUUUACAGGACUCUGCUGGAGUCUGUAAGUGGCUUGGACACUCAGCUGGACUGGCAAAGCAGAAUAUCUGUGUGUCAGUGUACUUCAUUCAUCCGUCGCUGGGUCAGGGUCUGGGGGUCAGACCCCUGCAGCUGGUGCCCCUGUGUGAGGAACGCUACCACACAUCCUGGCCUGGGCUGGGGAGUCCAUCCAAUGGGUAAGUGUUUGAUGGGAGGGUUGGCCACAGCUUGCACCUCUGGCCUGAGGUGUCCACAGACUUAAGAUCAUCCCCCUUACAGCACGAGAUGGAGUGAGGGGUGGGAAAGAGUGGAAUGGGCAGCAGGCCAGGGCUUCUGCUGGAAUACCUGUUUUUGAUCCUGAAAAUAUGUUGGUGUUUUGUGAUGAGGCACUCUAGGAGUUGAUGGCAGAGCUGAAGUGAGAGCUGGGCUGAUCCCCAGUCUAGAAUGGAUUUCUUUUUGCCAGCAAGGAGUUAAUCUGCCACUGUUACCUGUUUCUGAUUGUUUACGGGAAGAUGUGAUCAUGAAAGGCCAAUGAGAGUGUUCAGGACUCUGAUUCUUCUUGUCUAUCUAAAUUACCAUCUCAGGAGGUAAAGCAAACCAAUUUACCUUGAGGUUUUCAUCAAAGAAAUCCAUAGACAGCCCAGGAACCACAUGCUAACAAGAUAGUGAGUCCUAAUGUAGAAAAAGAAACUAAAAGGCCAAACUCAAACUAAAAUACAUUGCUUCAUGAUAAGCUCCCACUUAUCUAGGCAAAAGAAUCAAGAAUAGUAUUAUCAGUGGGAAAUAUAAACUAAAAUCAUCUGGUUUACCAAAGGUUAGGUUAGGAUUACAUGUCCUCGAAUAAAUAAAAAUAGAAAUAUUAAAAUUAUACUAAACAUAAUCAGAUCUCUUCUUCGUCACUAACCUCAGUAAUUUUGGCAGAUGGCUGAAAUUUUUUGUUUUUUGUUUUUUUGGGAUGACAAUACAUACUUAGGUUCUCUUUCCAAAGACAGCUAUGCAGUAGAACUAGGACAGAAUUUCCCCAGUGGGUCCCUCCUUGUUAUAACAGGCACACAAAAACUUUUCAUUAGAAGAGUCACAGAU